ensembl:lncRNA
CUCAAACUGGCGCAGGGGGCCUGAAAUUGGCCCUCGCAGUGAAUUUCCCCGGCGCGGUGUUUUUGUUUGUCAAGAAAACAUUCACGCGGCGCUCAGCCGUGUCGGUGGAGCCGCUCGCUCCGAUUACCCGCCCGCUCCCGCGUGUUCCUCCCUCUGAAAGCCUGCGAGAUGCUGCUCCGUCAUAUCUGCAAACCAAUGGCAUUUGCCAAGUGCAAAUGCAAAUGCGUGCAGCCGCGGCCCGCCGGAAUGUGUUUGCUAUUAGGGAUCCAACUGUGGACGUGCAGAGAAAAGGCAGAAUGAUCUCCAGCAGGUACCACGCGCCAUCUACUGGAGCCCGAAGCGGCUCCAUCCUUCAACAAGCUGCUGCAGCACAAAGCUGCGUUUCACAUAUACGGUGAAUUUAAACCAUAUGGAAGACCUACAUGUUUCGAG